rnacentral:misc_RNA from 1 species
GAAGGGGCGAUUCUACAGCUCACAAGGUCCCCGGGUGCCGUCUGCUUCCUGUAGUGUAAACGCACCUGUCCACAUUCCAGCCUUCCUACCGAGACAACAGCACCAUGGACUGGAGGAGUCUGGAGGGGACAAGGUGUGGUUCCUCCUGGUUUUCUCCUGCCUCGUGCUGUCUGUGUUUUCCACCAUCAAGGAGUAUGAGAAGAGCUCGGAGGGGGCCCUCUACAUCCUGGAAAUCGUGACUAUCGUGGUGUUUGGCGUGGAGUACUUCGUGCGGAUCUGGGCCGCAGGCUGCUGCUGCCGGUACCGUGGCUGGAGGGGGCGGCUCAAGUUUGCCCGGAAACCGUUCUGUGUGAUUGACAUCAUGGUGCUCAUCGCCUCCAUUGCGGUGCUGGCCGCCGGCUCCCAGGGCAACGUCUUUGCCACAUCUGCGCUCCGGAGCCUGCGCUUCCUGCAGAUUCUGCGGAUGAUCCGCAUGGACCGGCGGGGAGGCACCUGGAAGCUGCUGGGCUCUGUGGUCUAUGCCCACAGCAAGGAGCUGGU